rnacentral:rRNA from 1 species
AAUGAACGCUGGCGGCGUGCCUAACACAUGCAAGUCGAGCGAGAAAGUUCCUUCGGGAAUGAGUACAGCGGCGGACGGGUGAGUAACACGUGAGUUAUCUGCCCUUUAGUGAAGAAUACUUUCGAGAAAUCGAAUUAAUGCUGCAUACGUCCCUUCGGGGAGAAAGAUGGCUUUAUGCUGUCGCUAGAGGAUGAGCUUGCGGACUAUUAGCUAGUUGGUGGGGUAAUGGCCUACCAAGGCGAUGAUGGUUAGCCGGCCUGAGAGGGUGAACGGCCACAUUGGAACUGAGAUACGGUCCAGACUCCUACGGGAGGCAGCAGUGGGGAAUAUUGCGCAAUGGGCGAAAGCCUGACGCAGCGACGCCGCGUGGAGGAUGAAGGUCUUCGGAUUGUAAACUUCUGUUAAGGGGGACGAAGGAAUGCCGGCGAACAGUCGGCAGACUUGACGGUACCCCCAGAGGAAGCCCCGGCUAACUCUGUGCCAGCAGCCG